UGGAGGAAGAAGCGAAUGCUCAGGCUGAACCACAAAAGAAGAAAGAUGAGGCAGAGGUCCAAGUAAACCAGCAUGUGCACCCGUCGAGGCUAGAGGGACAGAAAGAAGGAAG